GACGAACGCUGGCGGCGUGCUUAACACAUGCAAGUCGAACGGAAAGGCCCUGCUUUCGUGGGGUGCUCGAGUGGCGAACGGGUGAGUAACACGUGAGUAACCUGCCCUUGUCUUUGGGAUAACUUAAGGAAACUGGGGCUAAUACCGGAUAGGAGCUCCUGCUGCAUGGUGGGGGUUGGAAAGUUUCGGCGGUUGGGGAUGGACUCGCGGCUUAUCAGCUUGUUGGUGGGGUAGUGGCUUACCAAGGCUUUGACGGGUAGCCGGCCUGAGAGGGUGACCGGCCACAUUGGGACUGAGAUACGGCCCAGACUCCUACGGGAGGCAGCAGUGGGGAAUAUUGCACAAUGGGCGGAAGCCUGAUGCAGCAACGCCGCGUGCGGGAUGACGGCCUUCGGGUUGUAAACCGCUUUCGCCUGUGACGAAGCGUGAGUGACGGUAAUGGGUAAAGAAGCACCGGCUAACUACGUG
rnacentral:rRNA from 1 species